GAUUUGGUUGUAAGUGAUAGAGUCCAAAAAGCAUUGCAUAUCUCUUACUGUUCUUGAAAUCUUUCACUUUAUGAUAGUCUUGACUUUUUUUUGGACCCAUCAUUAGGCCUUUGUUGGAAAUGAUAUAUCCUAGGAAGACAGCUUGAAUAGUGUAGAAUAUACACUUUUUUAUCUUAUUAUAUAAUUAUUUAUUUUUAAAUU
rnacentral:lncRNA from 1 species